rnacentral:rRNA from 1 species
GAUGAACGCUGGCGGCGUGCCUAAUACAUGCAAGUCGAGCGAACAGACGAGGAGCUUGCUCCUCUGACGUUAGCGGCGGACGGGUGAGUAACACGUGGAUAACCUACCUAUAAGACUGGGAUAACUUCGGGAAACCGGAGCUAAUACCGGAUAAUAUAUUGAACCGCAUGGUUCAAUGGUGAAAGACGGUUUUGCUGUCACUUAUAGAUGGAUCCGCGCCGCAUUAGCUAGUUGGUAAGGUAACGGCUUACCAAGGCAACGAUGCGUAGCCGACCUGAGAGGGUGGUCGGCCACACUGGAACUGAGACACGGUCCAGACUCCUACGGGAGGCAGCAGUAGGGAAUCUUCCGCAAUGGGCGAAAGCUUGACGGAGCAACGCCGCGUGAGUGAUGAAGGUCUUCGGAUCGUAAAACUCUGUUAUUAGGGAAGAACAAAUGUGUAAGUAACUAUGCACGUCUUGACGGUACCUAAUCAGAAAGCCACGGCUAACUACGUG